AUCUCACUAGCACUAGAGCCAUUCAUUACAAUAUCUUAGACCCAUCUUCUCAAGAUGUCGGACUAACUGAGCUUGUGAUAAAGGCUUAGUGAACGAAUCAGCUGGAUUUUCAGCUGAUGUUAUUUUCUGCAUGGCUGUAUCGCCUUGCUCAACUAUCUCUUUGAUAAUGCGGUAGCGCAUUUCUAUGUGUUUGGAUUUCUAGU
rnacentral:misc_RNA from 1 species